rnacentral:lncRNA from 1 species
UUCAACCGCAUCACAUCGAUCUUCAUCUUGCGAUCAUUGAUGACAUCGGCGACAUGCAACUCCAGUUCCAUAUUCUUAUCCUCAAUUAUUUUCAAUUUUUUCUUCAAGUAUUUGUUUUCUUUUUCAACCAAAUUUAACUUCUCGACAAGAAUUUUUAUGUGGGUUGGAAUUUCUGGUUCACAUACCUCCUAGAUUAAAAAAAUAUAUGUCACGUUGGUCGUCAUAAUUGUCAUAAACACUAAAUAAAACAAAUAGUUAUAAAAGAUAAUAUAUACCACAUCCGAAUCAUAGACAGG